GAGCCACCACGCCCAGCCACCUGUGGAUUUCUUUAUGUCUCUCCACCUUCUCACUUUGAGUUUAUAUGAGGCUGGGUUAUGUCUUUCUGUGUUUUCCUGGGUCUUGGCAUUUGUUUCUAUCUCUUCCCCUCUCUUUCCUUCUGUCCUUUGUUUCUCCAUCACACUGUCUCCUGACAUCGAUCUCUUCCUGUAUCUUUGCUCUAUAAUUGCCCCAUA
rnacentral:lncRNA from 1 species